rnacentral:rRNA from 1 species
GAUGAACGCUGGCGGCGUGCCUAAUACAUGCAAGUCGAGCGAACGGACGAGAAGCUUGCUUCUCUGAUGUUAGCGGCGGACGUGUGAGUAACACGUGGAUAACCUACCUAUAAGACUGGGAUAACUUCGGGAAACCGGAGCUAAUACCGGAUAAUAUUUUGAACCGCAUGGUUCAAAAGUGAAAGACGGUCUUUCUGUCACUUAUAGAUGGAUCCGCGCUGCAUUAGCUAGUUGGUAAGGUAACGGCUUACCAAGGCGACGAUGCAUAGCCGACCUGAGAGGGUGAUCGGCCACACUGGAACUGAGACACGGUCCAGACUCCUACGGGAGGGAGCAGUAGGGAAUCUUCCGCAAUGGGCGAAAGACUGACGGAGCAACGACGCGUGAGUGAUGAAGGUCUUCGGAGCGUAAAACUCUGUUAUUAGGGAAGAACAUAUGUGUAAGUAACUGUGCACAUCUUGACGGUACCUAAUCAGAAAGCCACGGAUAACUACGUG